ensembl:lncRNA
CCGACUCUCCCCAAAGUUCAAGUGGGGAGGUGUGGAAGGGCUGGAAGGACAGUGCCCACCUGGGGGGGGGUGGGGGUGAGGACAGUGUGGGGACAGUAGGAGCCCCACGGGCGGAGCGUGUGCCGAAAGCACGUGCUUGGAGUGGAGGUUUCUGGCUGCCAGGGCGGGUCUGCCAGGUGGCUCCAAGGAUGGUUCAGGGUGUGAGGCUCCCCAAAGCAUCAGGAGUGCUUUGGACCAGGGAUGGUGAGGGCAGUCAGGGGCCCCAGCCGGACCUUCCUGGGCAUUUGAGUGAGAAGAUCUGGAGAGCAGGUAAGGACAGGGUGAGCCUUGUGAACUGGGGUCCACAGAAGCUCCCUGCAGGAGUGAGGAGGCACAGGGGGUUGCAGGGUCUCUGAAUCGUGUCCUCCACCUGGCUGCCACCUCCUGCAGGAAAGCACCCCUGACUGCUUCUCAGGCCCUGGUCUCCCCCAUCCCAGCCCUGGAUCCAGGCCGAGCCACCAGGGCCUGGAAAAUCCUGAGUAUGUGCCCCAGCGUGGCUCAGGCUGCUAAGCUGGACCUGGCGGCCCCAGAGAGACAGCGAUGCUUUCCCCACUUCCGCUCUAGGUGUGGCCCCCACCUGUCUGGCCCUGUGAACAAUGUAGGCCGCUGAUGAGGAGCCUGGGGCCUGAGCCCCGGCUCCCAGGCCCAGGAAGGCCCCUGGCCCCACUGACCCGGUCGGGGAGGCUGCCACUGACACGGUCUUUGUCUCAGCCUUUGUGGGACAAGACGGAUGGCCCUCCGGCCGGGCCGAUGCUAUCUCGGGGCUGCCGGUGGGACGUGAGGUGGGAGCCAUCCCCUCCUUUGUGGGCAGGUGCGUGGCAUCCGGCCCAUUGUGGGCUGCAGCUGACUGUCCGCUGUCCAUCCAGGCUUAUCACCAGAUCUGGGAUAGCGGCCCCUUCUGCACAAAGAAAUGCCCCCUGCCCCCCAGGGAGUGGCCCGGAGCCCUGGUGGGGGUCAGAGAGUAUCCAAGGCCUCCCUGCCCUGCAUCCUGGCCUACUCUGCCCAGACACGUGGCGCACCACCCCGGGCCGCCCCGACGCUCAAGCCACAUCCUGGCGACUGGAGGACGACCGAGGGGGUGCCUAGAGCGCUGAGUCCCUGCGAGGCCAGGCGGCGGCCCAGCCGGACACAGCCCUGAGAAGCGCGCGGAACCUCGGUGUUUUCGUCCCUGAAAAGGGCAGAUGCCACGGCCGGUCCUCCCCGGAGCGCGGCCUCAGCCCGGCAGCAGAGGGCGCUCGCGACCC